GUGCUCACUUCGGCAGUACAUACACUAAAAUUGGAACACACACAAAGAAGAUUAGCAUGGCCCCUGAGCAAGAAUGACACCCAAAUUCAUGAAGUCCGAAUUUUUUAU